GUCACCCUGCAACACGGGCUGACUGUAAAAGGUGGGCGGAGCCCCCCAAAAAUCAUAUCGGCUCCUUUAUUUGUUCCAGUGUCGGUUGCGCGUGAGGCGUGGCAGCUUCAAAUCAAAAGCCGCAGGUUCAUAAAAAUGGCCGAGAGACGCGUUGCGCGCGACGCGCGUCUCCAUCAGUCUCCGUGUAGUCUGUGCGUGGAAAUGCGUCCGGAAGUCAAUGCGUGUAAACUGCUCCACGGAUAACCAUAACAAUACAUAAUUUUAAUAAUAUUUUUUAAUAUAAAUAUUGUACCGUUUACAUUGCCACGACACUACAAAGAGCUCCAAAAGAAAGGACCAAGUAAGUCUAAGAAACAAAGCACGUGUUCGGUGGUGUAGUGCCUCCCAGGCUGCUCAGGCUCGCAGCUCGGUAACGGAAUGCCGUUAGGAACAGAAACAGACGCGGCGGUCUGCGCAGAAAGCGGCUCGGUCGAGCUCCGCAGGGAGCGGACGCUGUGAACCAGACGGGGUGGAGCCACGCUGAGCCACGCCCAGUUCGGCGCAGACGGUCUAGGAACUAGUGUUGCCAGAUUGUUCUGAGCUGUAAAAAAAACAGCAUACUGGCAGGUAUAGCAGGUGUGAACUGUGCAGAACACCAGCAAGCCAAGAUGGUAGAGUUGGGCAUCCCUGUUUUGCAGUCUCAAGUGCCUUCAGUCAGCCAGUUCUUCAUAAACUCCCGAGACUGCUGUUUGAGAAAAUUCCAGGAGAUCAUCAGACUCUGAAAAGCUCGACCUGACCACCGACAACCAUUCUUCCCAUUCUGAUGUUUAAUAAGUUAACUGAAGCUGAAGCUCUUGACUUGUACCUGCAUGAUGUUAUAGCGCUGCUGCCACAUGGCUGAUUGGAUAACUGCAUGAAUGACCUGGUGUUUUUAAUAAAGCGUUGUUGUUUUGUGAUUGUUAUAUAGUUUCCCCUUAAACACAUUACCUCUCAUUGCAUUAUCAGCUGACAGCUCAGUUGUUGGAAAAGAAAUCGACUCACCUUUUAUACUUUUGAUUCUGCGUAAACUGUGGCUUGAAAAUACUGGAUGGAAAUGUGGAAUCUGGCAACCCUGCGUGUAUCCUGUUUGCCUUCUGCACAAUGAAAAGCGUUAAGAGCGACAGCAGUGUGAGCAAGAGGGCGGG